UACGGAGGGAGCUAGCGUUGUUCGGAAUUACUGGGCGUAAAGCGCACGUAGGCGGCUUUGUAAGUUAGAGGUGAAAUCCCGGGGCUCAACCUCGGAACUGCCUUUGAUACAGCAAGUCUUGAGUUCGAGAGAGGUGGGUGGAAUUCCUAGUGUAGAGGUGAAAUUCGUAGAUAUUAGGAAGAACACCGGUGCGAAGGCGGCCCACUGGCUCGACACUGACGCUGAGGUGCGAAAGCGUGGGGAGCAAACAGG
rnacentral:rRNA from 1 species